AUUGAACGCUAGCGGGAGGCUUAACACAUGCAAGUCGAACGGAGUGGCGGACGGGUGAGAAAUAUAUGGGAACGUGCCCAGUGGGGGGGAUAAACUACCGGAAAAGGGGGCUAAUACCGACACUAUGGGGGGUGCGGAAAUGGGAUUAGCUGGUUGGGGGGGUAAGGGCUCACCAAGGCAACGAUCCGUAGCUGGUUUGAGAGGACGACCAGCCACACUGGGACUGAGACACGGCCCAGACUCCUACGGGAGGCAGCAGUGGGGAAUUUUGGACAAUGGGGGAAACCCUGAUCCAGCCAUCCCGCGUGUAUGAUGAAGGCCUUCGGGUUGUAAAGUACUUUUGGCAGAGAAGCGGUAUCUGCAGAAUAAGCACCGGCUAACUACGUGCCAGCAGCCGCGGUAAUAC
rnacentral:rRNA from 1 species